AAGAUGUGGUCAGGGUUCAGGGAAACACAAGAGAGAGUGUAGCGCACUGGGGUUGUGAUAGCACCCAGGUGGGAAGCAAGGACAGGGCAUGGUGACGAGAAGCUGGGGACAGAGCAGGUGGGGUCAAGAGGGUUGCUUAACAGGACCCAUAACCUUGUGUUGAGAAAUGAGUCUGUUCUGCAGUGACAUGGCUGGGAGGGGGCUGGGAGAAUACAAACUCUGAUCUAACUUCUUCCUCUUGCCUAUUUUUGCCAGUGAUCCUCAUUGGCCAAACCCAACUGGAAGCCACUGGGCUUCAAAUCAGCCUCCUGUGGCAAAAAGCAAGGUGGAGAAGGUGAGAGAGUAGAUCUGGGGCAAAUGGAAGGUAUCCAGCCCAUGGAUUUAAAAGCAAUAAUGCAUAGGAAAGCCCUGAUCAUGUACCUAGCACCCAGUCACUGUUUGCUGUAAUAUUAUUAUAUUAUCGGAAGAAACCAAGAGCUGUGGGUGGCAGAAGAGGAAUUGAGCUGUUUUUUUUUUUUUUUUUUUGCUAGGGUGACCUGCAGAAUACUCAUGGAGGAGGUCUGCUUUGAGUUGUGGCUUGGAGAGAUGAAGAAAAUAAUAGAGCAAACAUUGACAUGGAACCUACUAUGUGCAGAGCCUUCCCAGGUAGUAGCUGGAGCAUCU
rnacentral:lncRNA from 10 species